ACAUUCUUUAUGCAAAUAAUUUAUCUGGUUCCAUGAAAGCUUUGCAUUUUGUAGUCCAUCUUAUAUUUUUUUUAGUUGCGUGCGUUUAUUCCAUACUUGUUCACCCUUUGCCUGAUGUGGUAUGAAUGUUGAAUUACAGGAAUUCUGUUAGUGGCACAAUGUGGGCUUUCCUUCUGGUGCUAGAGGUGACUAUUUGUUGACAGCAAUUAGCAUGCAAGUUUGAACCACAAACGCACAGAUCAGUUGUAACUUUUACUUUAGAGUAGUCCCUCAAGGUUUAUCAAUCCAUGGAAACAAGGUCACAUGCUAACUAAACAUUGGAAAACAUGAUACUGGUUGCAAGAUGGUUGUGAAUAAGAAUGAAUAGACAUGAGUAAAUACGAAGCAUGAGCAGAUAUGAACAAGAGCUAACUUAUCUAGAGUAAAGCCUAGACUAUGCAUACGUUGUAGCUCUAGCUAGAUGGCAAGCAAACACAUGGUUCUCAUUCAAAGCAUCUUUAAACUACUACCUCCGGUAUGACUCCUGAAACCCCCCACCUUACACGGUAUUAGAC
rnacentral:lncRNA from 1 species